GACGUAGGGGGCCAGCGUUGUUCGGAAUUACUGGGUGUAAAGGGUUCGUAGGCGGUGUAGCAAGUCGGGAGUGAAAUCUCUGGGCUUAACCCAGAGGCUGCUUCCGAAACUGCUGUGCUUGAGUGUGGGAGAGGCGCGUGGAAUUGCAGGUGUAGCGGUGAAAUGCGUAGAUAUCUGCAGGAACACCCGUGGCGAAAGCGGCGCGCUGGACCACUACUGACGCUGAGAACGAAAGCUAGGGGAGCAAACAGG
rnacentral:rRNA from 1 species